UACGUAGGCAGCAAGCGUUGUUCGGAGUUACUGGGCGUAAAGGGUGCGUAGGCGGCUUUUUAAGUUUGGUGUGAAAUCUCCCGGCUCAACUGGGAGGGUGCGCCGAAUACUGAGAGGCUAGAGUGUGGGAGAGGAAAGUGGAAUUCCUGGUGUAGCGGUGAAAUGCGUAGAUAUCAGGAGGAACACCUGUGGCGAAAGCGGCUCACUGGACCACAACUGACGCUGAUGCACGAAAGCUAGGGGAGCAAACAGG
rnacentral:rRNA from 1 species